AUACGGAGGGUGCAAGCGUUGUCCGGAUUUAUUGGGUUUAAAGGGUGUGUAGGCGGUGUAUUAAGUCAGUGGUGAAAGCCUGCGGCUCAACCGUAGAACCGCCAUUGAUACUGACACACUUGAGUAUGGACGAGGUAGGCGGAAUUUAUGGUGUAGCGGUGAAAUGCAUAGAUACCAUAAAGAACACCGAUAGCGAAGGCAGCUUACUAGGCCAUAACUGACGCUGAGGCACGAAAGCGUGGGGAGCGAACAGGAUUAGAAACCCCAGUAGUCC
rnacentral:rRNA from 1 species